UACAGAGGUGGCAAGCGUUGUUCGGAAUUACUGGGCGUAAGGGGCGCGUAGGCGGCCAUCUAAGUCAGACGUGAAAUCCCCCGGCUUAACCUGGGAACUGCGUCUGAUACUGGACGGCUCGAGUAUGGGAGAGGGAUGUAGAAUUCCAGGUGUAGCGGUGAAAUGCGUAGAUAUCUGGAGGAAUACCGGUGGCGAAGGCGGCAUCCUGGACCAUUUACUGACGCUGAGGCGCGAAAGCUAGGGGAGCAAAUGGG
rnacentral:rRNA from 1 species